GACCAGGCUGUUCUCAUUAAACUUUCGUACGAAAAGCUACUAAAAGUAGUGCACUACAUUCCGUAUGAUUUCCACGUAAUUAUGAGCCAGGACGCCUGGCCACGCCCACAGUGACUGAUGAAGCCAGGACCACGACGAUGUGCACUGCAGGCUGCUGUGAGUUAAAACAUAAAUACAAAUAAAAAAGGAGCAAAAUGUCUUUGGACUGGAAUAAAUGUAUUAUUUGAAAGUAGUAUCUAGGCUCGCAAGUGCAAUGCAGUCUGUUGUUUGGAUGUAAUGCAAAAUAUCGUUGGUAAAGGAAGAACAUGUUGGCUUGUAGCCACGCACUGGGGUAAUCUAAGUUUUGGCAGUACAGACUCACGGGCCAAGGAUGUUUUGAUGAUUAUCAUGGAUUAUCAUUAUCAUGAUAAUCAUUGAUGAUUAUCAACAAUAAAGACUCCAUGCAGUUUGCAUAAAAUGAUUCCGCGGAAUUUGCAACAACAAGCCAACUAACACGGAUGAUGUUUCGUCAAAAAGUCAGAAGGUGGAGCCGAUGAGUUUAAUUCGGGACUACGCUGCCGAGUGAAAAUGCAACAUUAGGCCUACUUCUUUCUUUCGCUUGCCUCAUCAUUGAAAAAUCCUUGCUCCUGAUAUCCUGAUGUAUGGGUUGCAUUAUAUGGAUUUUUUCAUUAUAUGACUCCAACAGAAGACCUACACAAAGGAGCUCAGCCAGCAUGUAAACAAGGCCUUGUUUGUCCACUUCCUGAAGGAGAUGAAGCAUGCUGGCCUGGACACCUCAGUCCUUGCUUCCAUUUACAGCUGUGUUGUGGAGCGCAUUCUCACAUCCUAUGGUCUACUGCAGCGGGUGGCUAUAUCGGUACAGAGGACAAUUGGCAGCAAUAUACUAAUUAUCAAUGACCGUUACAUUAGUAGGAAUAUAUGAGGCUUUCUACAGGUAUUUUGCUAAACAUAGAGGUUGCUAUGGUAGUGGUUGCUAGGUUAUUGCUAGGGUAAUUGAGAAGGUUGCUAUGGUGUUGUUACAGGAUAUAUGGUGGUUGCUAUGCAGGUUUCUAGGGUAAUCAUGUUGGUUGCUAUGGUGGUUUCUAGGUUGGCAUUGUAGUGGUGGUUGCUAGGUUGUUGAUAGGGUAAUUGAUAAGGUUGCUAGGGUAGAUAUGGUGGUUGCUAUGGUAAAUUAAGUGGUUGCUAUGCUGGUUGCUAGGGUAAUUGAGAUGGUUGCUAGGGUAGUCAUGUUGGUUGACUAUCAAAGUGGUUGCUAGGUUGUUGAUAGGGUAACCGAGAAGGUUGUUAGGGUGUUGCUAGGGUAGAUAUGGUGGUUGCUAUGCUAAAUAAAGUAGUUACUAUGCUGGUUGCUAGGGUAAUUGAUAUGGUUGCUAAGGUAGUCAUGUUGGUUGACAAUAUCAAAGUGGUUGCUAGAUUAUUGCUAGGGUAAUUGAGAUGGUUUCUAGGGUCGAUAUAGUGGUUGCUAUUAUAAACAUAGUGGUUGCUAUGGUAGUGGUGGCUAGGUUGUUACUAGGGUAACUGAGAAGUUUGCUAUGGUGUUGCUAGGGUAGAUAUAGUGGGGGUUAUGCUAAAGAAAGCAGUUGCUAUGCUGGUUGCAAGGUUAAUCAUGUUGGUUGCAAUGGUGGUUGCUAGGCUGACAUUAUGGUGAUAGUUGUGAGGUUGUUGGUAGGGUAAUUAAGAUGGUUGCUAGGUUGUUGCUAUGGUACUUAUGUUAGUUGCUGCUAAACAUAGCGGUUGCUAUGGUGGUGGUUGCUAGGUUGUUGCUAGGGUAACUUAGAAGUUUGCUAUGGUGUUGAUUGGGUAGAUAUGACAGGGAUUAUGCUAAAUUAAGCAGUUGCUAAACUGGUUGCUAGGGUAAUGAUGUUGGUUGAUAAUAUCCAAUGGUUGCUAGGUUGUUGCUAGGGUAAUUGAGAUGGUUACUAGGGUCGAUAUGGUGGUAGCUAUGCUAAACAUAGCGGUUGCUAUAGUAGUGGUUGCUAGGUUGUUGCUAGGGUAACUGAGAAGGUUGCCAUGGUGUUGCUAGGGUAGAUAUGGUGGAGGUUAUGCAAAGCAGUUGUUAUACUGGUUGCUAUAUAUUUUCUGAAAGACCAUCGCCUCUUGUAGGUCAAAUAAUAUGAAUUAAGACAUGUCCCACCUUCCUACUUACUUUGGUAUAUCAUAAAGUGUACAUAGGCCCAUAUUGUAGAUCGAGAAACCAAUAUAACUAUAGCCUGUAGAUGUCAAUUAAUAUCAAUUAUGACAUGUCCCACAUUCCGACUUACUUUGGUGCAUCAUAUAUGCUUAAGCAAUACUGCUAUUUUUGCUCUUAUACUAUAAAAAUCCAUAAUCACAUUAAAAACGAUUACAAUUGUUUUUGAGAGGGAAUUUCUGUAAAUCUUGCUUGAAAUUGUACCCGUAUGUUAAUUGACUAUCAUACUAUUUUAUUGUCAUCCUUCUUUGGGACUUGAGUACUUCAUUAUCCCCUUCAUGUAUCAAUGUACAAUGUACAUUAAAGCAUCUAUGAUUGGAAA